GCCCCUGUAGCUCAGAUGGAUAGAGCAGCGGUUUCCUAAACCGUUGGUCGCAGGUUCGACUCCUGUCAGGGGCA
rnacentral:tRNA from 1 species